GUGGUUUUCCCGUUGGGAUCAUCGUUGUAGUUGGAGUCCUGGUUCUCAUCGCUGUCGUUGGGAUUGUAAUCUGGAGGAAGAGACAGACAGGAUAUGGCAAAGCUUCAACUUCUUACAGCGACUUCAACUCCUCCAACAACCCCCCAGCUAAAGCAUGAAGAUCCAUCUGAGGAGAGACAUCAUCUUCUGAGACUGCACAAGGAGAUGGAGCCAUACUGUAUGUCUAACACACAUAAUCACUCAGUGAAAUACUUCACUUACAUUAUACAAGUCGCAGCAGCAGACAACCUGUCUCAGGAGCCCGGCCCUUCACUCCUCAUAGAUACUGUACCAGGAGAUUUUUU